AGAGCGGAGGUAACAGUACCUC
rnacentral:miRNA from 1 species